rnacentral:rRNA from 1 species
GGGUUGUGAGGUUAAGCGACUAAGCGUACACGGUGGAUGCCCUGGCAGUCAGAGGCGAUGAAGGACGUGCUAAUCUGCGAAAAGCGACGGCGAGGUGAUAUGAACCUUUGACCCGUCGAUGUCCGAAUGGGGAAACCCAGUGUGAUUCGUCACACUAUCGUUAACUGAAUACAUAGGUUAACGAGGCGAACCGGGGGAACUGAAACAUCUAAGUACCCCGAGGAAAA